CUAUGAUGAUGUCCUGUCAUCUGUGACCUGUGGUACACUCUGCACAAGAACAGUGUCCUAGCUGCCAGCAUUCUUCUUUGAAGGCUCAAGAUUAUGUUAGAACCAGGACAACAGGACAUAGGUCUACUAAUGCCAAUGCCAUACCAACUCUUGAAGGCUCUGCUUCAUCCACACUGUCCAGAGCUGUAGUCCAGACAAGACAAGACCUGAGUGGUUCGUGUCAGCACAGGAGAGAGAGAGCCACUGACAGCUGUGCUUAGAUGCCAGAUGCUCUCUCUGCCUGGGAGCCCAGAGAGCCUGUCCUGGCUCUUGACGUUCGGCAAUUACUGAUCCUUUCAGCUGAACCCCUGAUCUCUAAUAUGGGGGAGAUCAUUCUGCGACCCUGGAGGAAUGCCGUUCACAUCAAAUUUGAGAUAUGGAAAAACCCAGAGCAUAGAUUCUGAUGUGGCAGUCUGCAA